rnacentral:rRNA from 1 species
CCUUGAUGACGACUGGCGCACGGGUGAGUAACGCGUAUCCAACCUUCCCAUAACUACGGGAUAACCCGUUGAAAGACGGCCUAAUACCGUAUGACAUCGUUUGCUGACAUCAAAUAACGAUUAAAGGUUUAGCGGUUAUGGAUGGGGAUGCGUCUGAUUAGCUUGUUGGCGGGGUAACGGCCCACCAAGGCGACGAUCAGUAGGGGUUCUGAGAGGAAGGUCCCCCACAUUGGAACUGAGACACGGUCCAAACUCCUACGGGAGGCAGCAGAG